rfam:Hordeum vulgare subsp. vulgare, WGS project CAJW01000000 data, contig: morex_contig_1539071
GACGAACAACUGCGAAAGCAUUUGCCAAGGAUGUUUUCAUUAAUCAAGAACGAAAGUUGGGGGCUCGAAGACGAUCAGUUGCCGUCCUAGUCUCAACCAUAAACGAUGCCGACCAGGGAUCGGCGGAUGUUGCUUAUAGGACUCCGCCGGCACCUUAUGAGAAAUCAAAGUCUUUGGGUUCCGGGGGGAGUAUGGUCGCAAGGCUGAAACUUAAA